rnacentral:rRNA from 1 species
UCAAUAAAUCAUAUUACCCUGAAUGUGCCUAAUCUCGUUAGAUCACGGAGACUAAACUAAGUCAGGCCUGGUUAGUAUUUGGAUGGGAGACCUCAAUAAACCUGAAAAUGAA